AGGCAGUUAGUAUAAAUUAAAACAUUUGAUUUCGGCUCAAAAGAUUAUGGUUCAACUCCACAACUGGCUA
rnacentral:tRNA from 1 species